rnacentral:rRNA from 1 species
CAUCUCCGGGGGUAGAGCACUGUUUCGGCUAGGGGGCCAUCCCGGCUUACCAACCCGAUGCAAACUGCGAAUACCGGAGAAUGUUAUCACGGGAGACACACGGCGGGUGCUAACGUCCGUCGUGAAGAGGGAAACAACCCAGACCGCCAGCUAAGGUCCCAAAGUCAUGGUUAAGUGGGAAACGAUGUGGGAAGGCCCAGACAGCCAGGAUGUUGGCUUAGAAGCAGCCAUCAUUUAAAGAAAGCGUAAUAGCUCACUGGUCGAGUCGGCCUGCGCGGAAGAUGUAACGGGGCUAAACCAUGCACCGAAGCUGCGGCAGCGACACUCAGGUGUUGUUGGGUAGGGGAGCGUUCUGUAAGCCUGUGAAGGUGGCCUGUGAGGGUUGCUGGAGGUAUCAGAAGUGCGAAUGCUGACAUAAGUAACGAUAAAGCGGGUGAAAAGCCCGCUCGCCGGAAGACCAAGGGUUCCUGUCCAACGUUAAUCGGGGCAGGGUGAGUCGACCCCUAAGGCGAGGCCGAAAGGCGUAGUCGAUGGGAAACGGGUUAAUAUUCCCGUACUUGGUGUUACUGCGAAGGGGGGACGGAGAAGGCUAUGUUGGCCGGGCGACGGUUGUCCCGGUUUAAGCGUGUAGGUGUGUGUUCCAGGUAAAUCCGGUUCACUUUAACACUGAGGCGUGACGACGAGGCACUACGGUGCUGAAGCAACAAAUGCCCUGCUUCCAGGAAAAGCCUCUAAGCAUCAGGUAACAUCAAAUCGUACCCCAAACCGACACAGGUGGUCAGGUAGAGAAUACCAAGGCGCUUGAGAGAACUCGGGUGAAGGAACUAGGCAAAAUGGUGCCGUAACUUCGGGAGAAGGCACGCUGACAC